ACACAAAAAUGCACAUGCUGUGAGCUCGAUGAGUAGGGCGGGACACGUGGUAUCCUGUCUGAAUAUGGGGGGACCAUCCUCCAAGGCUAAAUACUCCUGACUGACCGAUAGUGAACCAGUACCGUGAGGGAAAGGCGAAAAGAACCCCGGCGAGGGGAGUGAAAAAGAACCUGAAACCGUGUACGUACAAGCAGUGGGAGCCUCUUUUAUGGGGUGACUGCGUACCUUUUGUAUAAUGGGUCAGCGACUUAUAUUCUGUAGCAAGGUUAACCGAAUAGGGGAGCCGAAGGGAAACCGAGUCUUAACUGGGCGUUAAGUUGCAGGGUAUAGACCCGAAACCCGGUGAUCUAGCCAUGGGCAGGUUGAAGGUUGGGUAACACUAACUGGAGGACCGAACCGACUAAUGUUGAAAAAUUAGCGGAUGACUUGUGGCUGGGGGUGAAAGGCCAAUCAAACCGGGAGAUAGCUGGUUCUCCCCGAAAGCUAUUUAGGUAGCGCCUCGUGAAUUCAUCUCCGGGGGUAGAGCACUGUUUCGGCAAGGGGGUCAUCCCGACUUACCAACCCGAUGCAAACUGCGAAUACCGGAGAAUGUUAUCACGGGAGACACACGGCGGGUGCUAACGUCCGUCGUGAAGAGGGAAACAACCCAGACCGCCAGCUAAGGUCCCAAAGUCAUGGUUAAGUGGGAAACGAUGUGGGAAGGCCCAGACAGCCAGGAUGUUGGCUUAGAAGCAGCCAUCAUUUAAAGAAAGCGUAAUAGCUCACUGGUCGAGUCGGCCUGCGCGGAAGAUGUAACGGGGCUAAA
rnacentral:rRNA from 1 species